GCAUAUCAAUAAGCGGAGGAAAAGAAACCAACAGGGAUUGCCUCAGUAACGGCGAGUGAAGCGGCAACAGCUCAAAUUUGAAAUCUGGCCUCUCGGGGUCCGAGUUGUAAUUUGUAGAGGAUGUUUUGGGUACCGCCCCGGUCUAAAUUUCUUGGAACAGAAUGUCAGAGAGGGUGAGAAUCCCGUCUUGGACCGGCGGUAGGGCCUGUGUAAAACUCCUUCGACGAGUCGAGUUGUUUGGGAAUGCAGCUCAAAAUGGGUGGUAAAUUUCAUCUAAAGCUAAAUAUUGGCCAGAGACCGAUAGCGCACAAGUAGAGUGAUCGAAAGAUGAAAAGAACUUUGAAAAGAGAGUUAAACAGUAUGUGAAAUUGUUGAAAGGGAAGCGCUUGCAACCAGACUUGAGCGCGACGGUUCCCCUAGCCUUUUGGCUAGGUUACUCUGUCGUGUCCAGGCCAACAUCGGUUCUGAGGGCCGGUCAAAGGCCCCGGGAAUGUACCUACCCACGGGUAGACUUAUAGACCGGGGUGUCAUGCGGCCUCUCGGGACCGAGGAACGCGCUUCGGCUCGGAUGUUGGCGUAAUGGUUGUCAGCGACCCGUCUUGAAACACGGACC
rnacentral:rRNA from 1 species